rnacentral:rRNA from 1 species
UACGGGGGGGGGCAAGCGUUGUUCGGAAUUACUGGGCGUAAAGGGCUCGUAGGUGGCCAACUAAGUCAGACGUGAAAUCCCCAGGCUCAACUUGGGGAACUGCGUCUGAUACUGGAUGGCUUGAAUUCGGGAGAGGGAUGCAGAAUUCCAGGUGUAGCGGUGAAAUGCGUAGAUAUCUGGAGGAAUACCGGUGGCGAAGGCGGCAUCCUGGACCGAGAUUGACACUGAUGAGCGAAAGCUAGGGGAGCAAACGGG